CAAACGUUGGGGUUCCGUCAGAUGUUACUGAAUUGUUUCAAGAUUUUCCCUGAAAAAUCCCAAUAUCCUACCCCUGAAAUGGGCAAUGGACUUCUGAGAGGCCCUAACCUUGACCCUUUGGUCCACAUUAAACACAUCACCUAACAGACAUUUUGAUUGAGCCAGACAGAAGGCCUCAGCGUAUUCAAAGAUGUGUAGAAUCGACACAAAAUCACACACUAGCCUAGUUUCUCUGCAAUAUUUCACGAGAGUUGAGAUCAACACGCUUUGUGGAGGGGGUGUCUGGAUCAUUUUGCAUAUGGAGGCCUCCAGGUGUCCCCCUUUACUAUUAAACAGAUAUUUACCAUUUCAUACACAAACUGAUGCUAUGAAUUGCACAGUUGCAACCGUACAUUUGCACCUGCUGAUGCGGAAGUCACUGGUAGGACAGGCGAAUGAGGUAGGUCCGUUGGAGAGACGAUGUGACAGGUCGACCAGUAACACCCGCUUCCCUGGAGAGGUCAGCGCUGGCAAUGGUAAGUGUUUGUGCAAAGAGAUGCCUAUUUUAAAGGAAAGAUACAGUAUCAAUGCUAUCAAUUUUUGAUGCUAAAGGAUGUUACUCUGGUGAUAAAUUUUGUACUGUAAUAAUUACACAAAAUUAUCACAAUACACAUAUCCUGCUGCUCUUGGGAGGUCAGCUGGAGGACAUGGUAUGUAUAAUCCUGAUGAACACAAAUUAAAUUAUUUCAGUAGGAGUAGUACAGCAGGAAUGAACAUUCAGCACAGGCAGGGUCAAUCAUUAACCACUGAGUGAUAUGAUAAAUGUAGGAGUUGUCAUCUUUGUGCUGUAUUAGCAUGUUGAUUAUCUUAACUGAGGACGUUUUUGUGUGAGAGUUGACUAUCUUCACUGGGUGUGUUUGUGUAUAAUGUAUUACCUUAGCAGAGGAUGUUUCCGUGUGGAUGUUCUUAUCUUCCCUGGGCUAUAUAAAUGUUGAUUUUAUUGCUAUAUUGGAGGAUAUGUUGGAGUGAGAGUUGAUUAUUUUCACUGGGCGUAUUUGAGUGGAGUUGAUUAGCUGAGGAAGUUUCAGUGUGGUAGUUAAUUAUCUUCCUAUAGCUGUGUUAAAAUGGAUUUUAUUAUCUAUGCUGAGGAUGUGUCAGAAUGGGAGUUGAUUAUCUCCGUAUAAAUGAAAGUUCACUUAACUGCGGACCUAUUGGUGUGGGAGUUCAUUAUCUUCACUAUAAUAUUGCUGAGGAAAUAUCAAUAUGGGAGUUAUUCUGCCUGGGCUGUGUGAAUGGGGAGUUGGCUAUCUUACCUGAGGACAUAUUGGUGAGAGAGUUCAUUAUCUUUACUAGACAGUUUUAGUGUUUCGCUGAAUAUCUUACCUGAAUAAAUUUCCGUGUUGGAGUCAGUUGUCUUCCUGGAACUGUGUUAAUAUGGAGUCCGUAAUCCCCAUUAUAGCCUGGAAAGACUGCUCUCUUUUACAAUCUGAUCCAAAGAAUUAAUAUUAACAUGUGCUUGCUGGAAAUCACCUGUCUGUUAAACAUUAAAUAGUUUCCAGGUCUCCAGGGUAUGAAAAUACAAACUGCCAUGCUUGCAAAACAUUUGCGAUUAAACCAAUACAACGCUUUUCAAAAUCUACUUAAGGGCUUACCAUUGUAACAUUUAGAAUGGGAGUGCAUCAGCGCAGAUUCUUUUGUCAAAAUGACCAAAUGUUGUAAUUAUUUAUUAAUUAUUAAGUACAGUGUUGUAUGACAUUUCAUUAAUUAUUUUAUUAACGAUGGCUGGAUUUAACUGUAUAGGUAAGAUGGCUCCCUCUUGUGGACAUAAAACGCACCUGCAACAGGCGGCUGUCUGCGCACCUGUCAUCAAUCACCAUUAAAGCACAGGAAAACACAGCUCUUGGCUACGUUUAGGCACAAUUCGGUUUUAAUAAGACUGAGGCAAUAAUCCGGCUAUGGAAGGUUUGAUGUAAACGCCUGUUUGUUACCUUAAUCGGGUAUGGUAAGAAUCUGAGAAAACAUUACAUUAACUCCGAUAUGUUUGCGUAAAUUUUCGAUUUGUGUGUGCACAUGAACGUAGGAAAGUCGGCUUUAAAUUUUGACAUUUUAAAACUGCAUAUGCGGAAGUUCACCAGACGCAGUGACCUGGAUGUUGUUUGUAUAUCUUUAUGCAGGGGGAAAGGAUCAAGUACAGUUAAACCAGCAUGAUUAAGUCUGAGGCACUGUGGUUUUAAUCGAUGUUUAAAGAUGGUAGGGAAACACUCAGGUGGGUAUGAGCGUGUGGCAUGCCUGCGACGAUUCAACAUGUUAUUAUAAUGUAAAAUACAGGAAAGUAAGAUGGUAUUCAACUUUAUUUCAGAAUUAGGAGUUUCUUUUGAAACGUUUCUUGGUUCAGAUAAGAAUAAGCGGUAACUAUUUGAAAGGAAAGCUUUGGAUUUGUUUGUAUGCAACCAGACUUGCACGGAUGCAUCUGAGGAUCAGUUGAGGUUUUUUUUAACGACCAGCAGAGGGCAGUAAUGCGUGUGGAAGUUUAACAAACCAGUAUCAAACAAAGCGAAGAAGAAGCGGAAGCAAAACGCAGAGCGAUGUGAAGUAAUUAUUUUUGGACACAACUAAUUGGCCUUACAUGAUUAUUAAAAGACUCCAUGUAAAACCCAGGAGCUGAGGGGAGUGCUUCGGAGGAAUCGGUGCUGGGCGCUUCACAUGUCCCGUUUCAGAAUGCUGCUCCCCGACUCGCCUUCAACCUUCCCAAGUUAUCCCAUGUCACUCCUCUGCUGAGUUCACUCCACUGGCUACCGGUCACUGCCAGGACCAGGUUCAAAGUCUGACCCUCGUCUACCCUGCAGCCAACAGGACAGCCCCCGGCUACUUACAGGACAUGAUUCAAUCCUACACGCCAGCUCAACCACUUCGCUCUGUGGCAACAGGGCCACUUGCACCCCUGCCAUUCGGAUGAAUCUGGGAUCAUUUUUAUCACUUAAAUCCCCCUCUUUCAUGCUACACAUGUACCUCCUGUGCCAAUUUCAUGUUACAUGUACCUCCAUCCAGCACGUAUACUGUACUUUGUAUCAUUAUCUUUAUGUUGUAGCUUGUCAUGCCUCCUAGUUUUACUUAGCAUAGGUUAGGUUAGAGUAAUGUUUAAUGUGUGUACUGAACUUAAUGUGUUCAUGGCUAUGAAUAACUGUUACAAAAUGAGUACUGUACCUUAUUGGACCUGUGUUUUGUAGUUGUUCCAAUGACCUUUGGUAUGCACUUAUUGUACAUCACUGGAUAAAAAUGUCUGCUGAAUAUAUGUAAUACAAUGUAAUGUCAGGAGUUUGCCUCCCUCUGCUGGACAGAAAACGGCAUUACAGCAUAGGAAGUCCAAUUUAAAAAAUGUUGCAAUGUACAAGUCUAUUUUUUGUAUGGUUAUCAAAAUGUAUGUGGAUUUUAAUGCUGCACACAAGUUGCCCUCUGGGGAUAAUAAAGAUCUACUGAAACCGAAA